rnacentral:misc_RNA from 1 species
GGUCAAGUUUAUGAGGGAUCCCUACACGGUGAAAAAUUUGCUAUUAAGAAACUUAGAUUUCCUCCGGAUGAGCAGACAAAAAAAGGAUUGGACGAGAUCCAUGUCAUUAGCAGUGUCCGUCACCGAAAUCUUGUCAAGCUGCUUGGUUACUGCGUUGAUAGAUCCAAUAAUGUAUUGCUUGUUUUAGAGUAUUUUCGCAACAAAUCCUUGAAAGUUAAUUUACAUGAAAAGGAGGAGAUUUUAGACUGGCAAAAAAGAAGAAAAAUUGCUAUAGGUUCUGCGAAAGGAUUGGAGUAUCUACAUGAUCACUGUUCUCCUAAAAUCAUACAUCAAGAUAUCAAACCAGAUAAUAUUCUUCUUGAUGAUAACUUUGAACCAAAGGCAGGAAGUCAAAUUAAGAAAGCUCUGGGAGGAGAAUUUAAGGAUUUUGUUGAUUUCAAAUUGCU